GCCUGAGUGGCUCAGUUUGUUGAGUGUCUAACUUCGGCUCAGAUCAUGAUAUCACAGUUUGUGAGUUCAAGCCCCACAUCAGGCU
rnacentral:tRNA from 1 species